CGCAAGCCUGACGGAGCAAGACCGCGUGCGGGAUGACGGCUUAAUGGUUGUAAACCGCUUUUCUCUGGGAAGAUGAUGACGGUACCAGAGGAAUCAGCCUCGGCUAACUCCGUGCCAGCAGCCGCGUUAAUACGGAGGAGGCAAGCGUUAUCCGGAAUUAUUGGGCGUAAAGCGUCCGUAGGUGGUUAUUCAAGUCUGCUGUCAAAGCGUGGGGCUUAACUCCAUAGAGGCAGUGGAAACUGGAUGACUUGAGUGCGGUAGGGGUCGAGGGAAUUCCCAGUGUAGCGGUGAAAUGCGUAGAUAUUGGGAAGAACACCAGUGGCGAAAGCGCUCGACUGGGCCUGCACUGACACUGAGGGACGAAAGCUAGGGGAGCG
rnacentral:rRNA from 1 species